GACGAACGCUGGCGGCGUGCCUAAUACAUGCAAGUCGAACGAGAGCGACCGGUGCUUGCACUGGUCAAUCUAGUGGCGAACGGGUGAGUAACACGUGGGUAACCUGCCCAUCAGAGGGGGAUAACAUCCGGAAACGGAUGCUAAAACCGCAUAGGUCUUCGAACCGCAUGGUUUGAAGAGGAAAAGAGGCGCAAGCUUCUGCUGAUGGAUGGACCCGCGGUGCAUUAGCUAGUUGGUGAGGUAACGGCUCACCAAGGCCGUGAUGCAUAGCCGACCUGAGAGGGUGAGCGGCCACAUUGGGACUGAGACACGGCCCAAACUCCUACGGGAGGCAGCAGUAGGGAAUCUUCCGCAAUGGACGCAAGUCUGACGGAGCAACGCCGCGUGAGUGAAGAAGGUUUUCGGAUCGUAAAACUCUGUUGUUAGAGAAGAACAAGUGCUAGAGUAACUGUUAGCGCCUUGACGGUAUCUAACCAGAAAGCCACGGCUAACUACGUG
rnacentral:rRNA from 1 species